rnacentral:rRNA from 1 species
GAGUUUGAUCGUGGCUCAGAUUGAACGCUGGCGGCAUGCCUUACACAUGCAAGUCGAACGGCAGCAUGAUCUAGCUUGCUAGAUUGAUGGCGAGUGGCGAACGGGUGAGUAAUACAUCGGAACGUGCCUUGUAGUGGGGGAUAACUAGUCGAAAGAUUAGCUAAUACCGCAUACGACCUGAGGGUGAAAGUGGGGGACCGCAAGGCCUCAUGCUAUAGGAGCGGCCGAUGUCUGAUUAGCUAGUUGGUGGGGUAAAGGCCCGACCAAGGCGACGAUCAGUAGCUGGUCUGAGAGGACGAUCAGCCACACUGGGACUGAGACACGGCCCAGACUCCUACGGGAGGCAGCAGUGGGGAAUUUUGGACAAUGGGCGAAAGCCUGAUCCAGCAAUGCCGCGUGUGUGAAGAAGGCCU